CCCUCGGUAGCUCAAUUGGUAGAGAAUUGGACUCGUAAUCCAAGAGCCGCGUGUUUAAUACCCUUGUGAACCAGACUGGGGGG